ACGGGCGGCCAUUACGGGCGGCCAUUACCCGGCAGAGGAAGAGUUCUUGAGGAGGGAAGCACUCUCCACCCCUCCUGUCUGCUUUGGGGAAAAGAGAAUACAAGAUAAGGGAGAAGACGGGAGGAAGAAGAGGGACAAGUGAAGGGGGUACAGAGGGAAAAGGACAGCAGUGAAAGGCUAGAGCGUGCAGGGGGCCGGCGGCCAUGAGGGCAGCAGUGUGGAGCAGGAGGGUGGGCGCUGGGGUAGGGGCAGCUGCCCCUGCUUGGAGGCAGUAUGUGCUGCGCCCCUCCGCUAGACACUGUGGGUGUGCUCGGAGUACAGAGACCACACAGCCGGGUAAGCCUGUGCCAUCCUGGAUCCCCACGCUGCACAUCACCAGGUCCACCACAGAUCUUCCAGGAAGACCGCGAUGAACAGAAGCACGGCCCUGGGGCUUGGGCGCACUGGUCCUAGGACACUGGCUUCCUGAUUACCGGGGGAGGCAGUCAGCAGAAGGUCGACCCAGAGACCUCCGGAGCAACUGGGAUGUAUUGAUGACUGGUGUGAGAGAGCAUGUGGGGUGGAGCGGCCAGAUGAUCCUAAAUUUCUGACACUCAGCAAAAUAAAGCUUGGAAGGCUGGGAAUCUUUGAUAGCUUUGAAAGCACUUGCUUCUUCAAGAGCUCUGUUUCCAGAACUUACAGCAGGAAACGGUUGCAUUUUGGGGUCCUACCUUAAAGCAGAAUAAGACUUGGCUACUCAGAGAAGGUAGGAAAACAAAAUGUGGAGGUAUGUGACUUUUCUUAUUAAACACUGACCAUAUCCUCAAUGACAAAUGUAAUUUUUGUAUGAUAAUACUUUAAAGUGACUUUCUUUUUAUUGUAUGUCUUGUUUGUAUGGGUAUGCAUUUGCAAUUUAUGAGAUUAUAUAUAUAUAUUAAAAUUCUAAUUAAUAUUCUGGAUCAUUAAGGUGUGAAAACAAGGGAAAAAUUCACUAAAUAAGUAACAUCUUAAGGGAGGUCCUGGGAUAUCUUGGUAGUUGUCUGCAGAGAGUCUCAGGUUUUAUGAAAUGGUGAAUUGAGUGGACUAGGCUGUGAAAGACCUAAUAGUGUCACUUAUUCCUUUGCCCUCAUAACUAAUGUAAUGCCUUCCUUUACUGCUAUGCCCAUGUGAAUUAAGAAUGAGGCUGAAUUAAUUGGAGAGUUUGUGCUAUAGUAUUCUUGAUUGCAGUAUGAUAUUGUUAUAGAUGUAGAUGCUUGGCACAUGGAAAUUACCCUCUUGUCUGCAGAGUAUAUUUCUAUAAUCUCAGCAGGAUAUAAUAAUUUCAUAAGAAAUUAAAUGAAAGUGGAAAUUAAAUGGACAUUUAAAGUAUCAAGCAGCAGUGAUUCAGAACACAAUCAUACAUUUAUAUUCCAUUUAAAAUUAAGAUGUGUAAUUUAAUCAUCCAUGAUUUAGAAAUAUAUAUUUUAAUAAUUUAUAGUAUUAAAAAGGACAUGGAGCUUUUUAAAUUUUGUAAUUAAGCAUAUGCAUAUAAAUUUUAAAGUCUUAAUUUGCUAUGACAUCAUUCUAAUAUAAUCCUGACAUGAUUAUCACAACUAUUAGUUUUUUUAGCUAUAUUAGAAGAUUCUUUCUUUCCCUUUUAUCCCAAAUUAUUUUAUUGGUUCCGAAAUCACUUUACAGUUGACAUUUUGGAGGUAAAUAUAUAGUUUGUUAUGUCAGGGAAAAAUUUAUCUACUUGAAGAUAAGUCAUUUGCAUUUUAACUAUGUUGCUAAAAUAUUUGAUGGAUUUCAGUCUAAAUCCAACCAUUAACACAGUGAAAUAAGUUUUCAUUUUUAUUGUUAACAGGAAAGGGAAAGUUACAAAUUACUGUACAUAUUGUUAUUGAGUUUUGUUAUAAAUAUUUUAUGCACAUACAUUUGCACAAACCAAGAAACAAUUACAGUAAUAUUUCUGCUUAUGAUUUAAUUAAAACUUAUUUGCAUUCUAGUUUUCAUUUAUUAUAUGACACACAUUUUAAAAGGAAUAAUUAUUAAAAUCACGAAGUCAGAUAUUAAAGUUAAAAUGUUAUAUUUAAACACUAGAAGAGAACAAACUAGUGAAUUGCAUUUUAAAUCUUAAAUCUCAUGUUUGUAUCUCCAAAUCUUCAUAUUAUAGUUUGCCUCUUUUUUUUUUUUCUUGUCUUUUUAGCUAUUUCUUGGGCCGCUCCCACGGCAUAUGGAGGUUCCCAGGCUAGGGGUCGAAUCGGAGCUGCAGCCACCGGCCUUUGCCAGAGCCACAGCAACAUGGGAUCCGAGCCGCAUCUGCAACCUACACCACAGCUCACGGCAACGCCGGAUUGUUAACCCACUGAGCAAGGCCAGGGAUCGAACCCGCAACCUCAUGGUUCCUAGUCGGAUUCGUUAACCACUGCACCACGACAGGAACUCCAGGUGCAAAAUAGUUUUAUAAAUAUAUUCGUAUAUUUAUAUUAGUUUGAAAGCAGGUUAUUAUAGCAUCACAUACUUUAAACGAUAUUGAAGUUGAGAUAUUUGUUGAGAUGGAUUCUAACAAGUAUAUGUUAAAUGAGAAAUUAGUUUCAAAAGACAAAAAACAGGUUAUAUUUGUAAUACUUGAAACAGACAUCUUUCUUAUAAGCCAAUAAGAAAACUCAGAAAGCUAAAAAUAAAAAUACACAAAGAACAUGAAAAGGCAAUUCACAAGUGAAAAUUCAGUGAAUAAUAUACAACUGGAACAUGAAUUUAAAUAGGAUGUUUUGAUUCUAAAAAUCAAAUACUGUUUUUAAACUUAUAAUGUUGCCCAAUAUUGAAACCAUGUUUGUAAUACACGUCAUUUACAUUCUGAAAAUCAAUUGCUAUUUUUAAUAUAUAAUAUUGCCAAAUAUUGAAAAUGUAUAUUUUACAGUAUGGGAAACGUUCACAGAAUGUCUAUAAGUGCUGAACCAAUGUGAUUUGUGAUAAGUUCACUUAAGGGAAAAAAAAUAGACCGACUGAGGGAGGGCCCUGAGAUGACACAGCCAGAAAGCUGGAGUUGAAAGGUGCAAAGAAACCUGUGUAGGGGAGGGAGAAUUCUCCACCCCUCAGAGUUUCUUUUGGCUGUUCCAAGAAUCAAAUUGACAUAAGACAGAUGACAGGAGAAAAAACAAAUGUAUAAGAACCCCACACACAUGAGAGCUUCAAAGAUGGAAAGAUAUGCAUGGCAUCCUGAGCUGAGGGACAGACCAAAUAGCCUGGGGAUUCCAAGAAGAGGAGGGAAAUUCACAUGACUAUAAGAAGAACAGAUGUUGGGUGAUGAGAUGUUUGCCACUCAGAUAAAAAUUAUCCCUGGUAAUGACUCUUACCUGGGGAAGACCCCCAGUAUAAACAUAUCUAGGUAGCUUAGAGAGAGACAGGGGUUUAUCUUCAACCUGCAGGUUCUUGAUUGCCAUGAGCUCCAAGUAAUCCUCAAGCAAAAGUGGUACAUUGUGGGGAGACACCUUCUGAGCCUCUUCACCUGUCAUAGGCAAAUAGGGUGACAAUGCAAGCAGCGUGUGUUGGGGGAGAGCUUGGGCUUCUUCUAAGAAUUACUAGAAGCAUCACUCUGUAUUUAAAAAAAUAUGUAGGAGUUCCCGUUGUGGCGUGGUAGUUAAUGAAUCCGACUGGGAACCAUGAGGUUGCAGGUUCGAUCCCUGCCCUUGCUCAGUGGGUUAAUGAUCCAGCGUUGCUGUGAGCUGUGGUGUAGGUUGUAGACACGGCUCAGAUCCAGCGUUGUUGUGGCUCUGGCAUAGGCUGGUGGCUACAGCUCUGAUUCGACCCCUAGCCUGGGAACCUCCAUAUGCCA
rnacentral:lncRNA from 1 species